CCAUCAAAGAGGCAGCCUCAUACGGUUAUGCAACAUCAUUGAUGAAGGCCCUUCAGGAAAGCUACACCCAUUCACCUGCAGCUCUUCGAGAGACAAGUCCAAUGAUUUAGUUGUAAGUAUUUAUUUUAGUUGUUAUUUAUCUUCUUUCCUUCUGUCCCUGUCAUCUCAUUUGGUGGUGGUUUCCUGUAUUCUGCAUGUUUUGUGUGUUGUUGCUUUGGUUUUACUUUGCACUAAAUCAUUACUUUUUUUCGUCUUUGUAAGUGGCAUUAAUUGUCGCUGUACCCCAUUCAAGGGGUCCUGCAUGCUGCAUGUUUGCUCCUCUGUCUGUUAUUUGCAUGAAAUUAGUUUUAUGUAAUUCAAAAUAAUUUACCAAUCAUUUUACCUGUGCCUUGUCAACCUCUGUGUGCGGUGUUGUCUGGGUUCACUGUGUGUCAGCUUGAUAUGCUUUUGCAUGUAUCACUGCAUAUGCAUUCAUGAAAGAGUGUGAGUGUGUGUGAGUGACUGUGUGUGACUGUGUGUGAGUAAGUGAGUGUGAGUGAGUGCGAGAACCAUCAGUUGACCCUCAGGUAAGACCACACUUUUGCAGGCAAAAGAAACAAUGUGCAAAGGUUUCAGGUCUAGCCCUUCAUCAGUGGGCUUUUUUUAUAUAGAUUUGUUUACUUGCAACCUGUGUCUUUGUUCAGUAAUCCUUGUCCUUGUUCAGUAAAUGUUUAGUAACCCUUACAAGCAAUGCCA